UCUUUUAUUGUGCACGAGCGUACCCGUCGGGUUUAUGGGAGCCCGGCGGAGUUAGUUAGAUUGCUUGUCUUUGUUGCCUGUACGCUCGUGUACAUACCCCCAUUUACUACUCUUUGCACUUGAUGUGACCCUUUAUUUGCAUUUCAGUUUACUUUUGCUUAUCUUGCUCAGUCGGCCGAUGAUGCCUACUGGGUACCUGUUGUUUUGGUACUCAUACUACACUC
rnacentral:lncRNA from 1 species